rnacentral:rRNA from 1 species
CUCAACGGGACCCUACGGGAGGCAGCAGUGGGGAAUAUUGCACAAUGGGCGCAAGCCUGAUGCAGCCAUGCCGCGUGUAUGAAGAAGGCUUCGGGUUGUAAAGUACUUUCAGCGAGGAGGAAGGCAUUAAGGUUAAUAACCUUAGUGAUUGACGUUACUCGCAGGAGAAGCA